rnacentral:lncRNA from 1 species
UCUCACUCCAUUGCCCAGGCUGGAGGGCAGUGAUCACAGCUCACUGCAGCCUCAAUCUCCUGGGCUCAAGCGAUCCUCCCACCUCAGCCUCCCCAGUAGCUGGGACUACAGAGACAGGAUCUCACUGUGUUGCCAGGCCGCAGUGAAGUGGGGUGAUCACAGGUGUGAUCAGAGCUACUGCAGCCUGAUACUCCUGGGCUCACGCAAUUCUUCUGCCUCAGCUUCCCAAGUAGCUGGGACCAUAGGAGCAUGCCAUGACACGCAGCUGACUACUUCUUAAUAUAUAAAUUUGGCAAGUAAAAAUGUUGUAAACGUAAUUAUACUGAGUUUCUGCCUAUUCUUUGAAUAUAACAUUAGGUAUUUUCCCCCAAAAUUUAAAGAAAUUAUGAUCAGGGUUACUGGAAGUGACAUACCAAUAAUGAAAUGUUACUUUUUACAUGUAACAUGAG